ACCCGGAACUGGGGCAGGGCCUGGGCACUCUGGCGUUGCUCGCCCCCGAAACGGUAUUCCUUUUCGGAAGUUUUCUUCCCAGGAGAUCAGCGGACAAAGAGCAGGAAAAGCAGAAAACAAGUCCCUUGAUUCACAGAAAGGAUGCUCUUGCUUCACAGAAAGGAUGAGGAAUUCGUUGAGAUGUUAUAGCUUUAGUCCAGUUCAAUGAAUUGUGUAUAUUUUGUUGAUACGCUUACUAGGAUCAAGACUGGGCAGAGAACAAUGGAAGACCUUCAUGAUUGCUGAUGAAAUGUGUGCCAACUGGCAAUGAGUGACACAGACACAGUCAAGAGGAUGACCUCUGCAGGCCUAGGAGGGCAGCUGUGGCUUCUGGGCAGGGGCAGCCUGAAACGGACCUUGGAGAAUGGCUGGGCUUUAGCUUCAUGCCAAGGAGGAGGAAAAGGGGUGCUUCUGCCAGUGGUGUGAGCUUACCUAUAGUUGUUUCUUCAGCCAGCUCUGUGGGGUACUCUUGAGCAAGUCACUUUUCAUUUAUAGGACUACGGUAGACAGAAUAGUGCCCCCUUGAGAUGUCCACUUCCCAAUCCCCACAACCUCUAAAUCUAUUACCUGACAUGGCAGAAAGGACUUAGAUCUUGCAGAGCCUAUGCUCCUGUAGGGAGAUUAUCCUGGAUGGUCCAGGUGGGCCCAGUGUAAGGACAUGAGUCCUCCUAAGGGAAAGAGGGAAGCAGGAGAGAGUCAGAGGCAGAGAAGGAGGUGUGACAGCAGAAGCAGAGGUCAGGAGAAAGAUGGGAAGAUACUACACCGCUGGCCUUGAAUAGAAAGGGGCCAUGGGCCAGGAAACGCAGGUGGCCUCUGGAAGCUAAAAAAGGCAAAGAACUGGAUUCUCCCCUAGAGUCUCCAGAAGGAAUGCAGCCCUGCUGGUACUUCAAGUUUAGGACUUCUUACCUCCAGAACUGUAAGAUAAUACAUCUGUUGUUUUAAGCCA